AGGGUUUGAUUAUGGCUCAGGACGAACGCUGGCGGCGCGCCUAACACAUGCAAGUCGAACGAGCGAGAGAGAGCUUGCUUUCUCGAGCGAGUGGCGAACGGGUGAGUAACGCGUGAGGAACCUGCCUCAAAGAGGGGGACAACAGUUGGAAACGACUGCUAAUACCGCAUAAGCCCACGGUGCCGCAUGGCACAGAGGGAAAAGGAGCAAUCCGCUUUGAGAUGGCCUCGCGUCCGAUUAGCUAGUUGGUGAGGUAACGGCCCACCAAGGCGACGAUCGGUAGCCGGACUGAGAGGUUGAACGGCCACAUUGGGACUGAGACACGGCCCAG
rnacentral:rRNA from 1 species